GGAUAUGAGGGCAAUCUGGCUGCGACAUAUGUCACCCCAUUGAUCACCAGGGUUGAUUUGGCUGAUCUGGCUGGCUAGGCGGGUAUCCCCUCCCUCCCUCACCGCUCCAUGUAUGUCCCUCCCGAAGCUGCAUGCUCGGUAAAAGAGAACAACCAUCCCUGAUAGAGGACCGGUCUUUGGUCAAGAGUAUAUGAGAA
rnacentral:snRNA from 1 species